rnacentral:rRNA from 1 species
GAUGAACGCUAGCUACAGGCUUAACACAUGCAAGUCGAGGGGUAACGAGAGGAAAGCUUGCUUUCCUUGUCGACGACCGGCGCACGGGUGAGUAACGCGUAUCCAACCUGCCCCCAACUAGGGAAUAACCUUGCGAAAGUAAGACUAAUACCCUAUAAUUUCCUCAGAUGACAUCUGACGAGGAAUAAAGAUUUAUCGGUUGUGGAUGGGGAUGCUUCUGAUUAGCUUGUGGGCGGGGUAACGGCCCACCAAGGCAACGAUCAGUAGGGGUUCGGAGAGGAAGGUACCCCACAUUGGAACUGAGACACGGUCCAAACUCCUACGGGAGGCAGCAGUGAGGAAUAUUGGUCAAUGGGCGGAAGCCUGAACCAGCCAAGUAGCGUGCAGGAUGACGGCCCUAUGGGUUGUAAACUGCUUUUAUACAGGAAUAAAGUUAGCCACGUGUGGUUAUUUGUAGGUACUGUAUGAAUAAGGACCGGCUAAUUCCGUGCCAGCCGCCGCCGUAA